rnacentral:rRNA from 1 species
UACGGAGGGUGCAAGCGUUAUCCGGAAUCACUGGGUUUAAAGGGUGCGUAGGCGGCUAUGUAAGUCAGUUGUGAAAUACCUCGGCUUAACCGAAGGAAGUGCGAUUGAUACUGCGUAGCUUGAAUCAGGUUGAGGUAGGCGGAAUGUGGCAUGUAGCGGUGAAAUGCUUAGAUAUGCCAUAGAACACCGAUUGCGAAGGCAGCUUACUGGGCUUUGAUUGACGCUGAGGCACGAAAGCGUGGGUAGCAAACAGG